KRCUCAUUACAACAGCCGUCGUUUCUUGGAUCUCUUAUUUUACUUGGAUAACUGUGGUAAUUCUAGAGCUAAUACACGCACUAAAGCUCCGACCUUACGGGACGAGCGCAUUUAUUAGAACAAAACCAAUCGGGUUUCGGCCCGUUCGUUGGUGACUCUGAAUAACUACGCCGAUCGCACGGUCUCGCACCGGCGACGCAUCUUUCAAGUGUCUGCCUUAUCAACUUUCGAUGGUAGUUUAUGUGCCUACCAUGGUUGUAACGGGUAACGGAGAAUAAGGGUUCGACUCCGGAGAGGGAGCCUGAGAAACGGCUACCACAUCCAAGGAAGGCAGCAGGCGCGCAAAUUACCCACUCUCGGCACGAGGAGGUAGUGACGAAAAAUAACGAGACGGAUCUCUUUGAGGCCCGUUAUCGGAAUGAGAACAAUUCAAAUCCUUUAACGAGGAUCUAGCGGAGGGCAAGUCUGGUGCCAGCAGCCGCGGUAAUUCCAGCUCCGCAGGUGUAUAUCUAUGCUGCUGCGGUUAAAAAGCUCGUAGUUGGAUCUGCGUGCUCGGAACCGGUUGGCUCACUGAGUUCAAACUGGUCUCCGGCGCUUUAUCGGCUGGUUUUCCCUUGAUGCUCUUAACCGGGUGUCUUGGGUGGCUAGCACGUUUACUUUGAAAAAAUUAGAGUGCUCAAUACAGGCGCAAAGCCUUGAAUAGUGGUGCAUGGAAUAAUGGAAUAGGACCUCGGUUCUAUUUUGUUGGUUUUCGGAACGCGAGGUAAUGAUUAAGAGGGACAGACGGGGGCAUUCGUAUUGCGACGUUAGAGGUGAAAUUCUUGGAUCGYCSCAAGACGGACGACUGCKAUWGCAUUUGCCAA
rnacentral:rRNA from 1 species